UGUGCAAAGCUGCCCAUUUAUCGCGUCAAGAAGAGCACAACUCGACGUGUAAAGCGUUGGCCUUGCCAUUAUUAUUGCUACCGCGAUUGUCAUUAUCACCACUGGUACCCCUGGGGGUGGACACAUGGUUGCCACUGGAGAUGUGUGUGGCAUCCCUGCUACUGAAAACCGCAAGGAGAUGCUGCAAGGCCCGUCGGGUGAUAGGGAUAAAUAAAAAUAUCCAGAUGCUAGUGACUAUCAUAUUUUGCUGCUUUGAUUAACAACUUUUGAUUUGGAAGAGCUGAUUUAAAAGUGAAAGAACUUCUAAAAGUACAUUGCAUGCGGCAUUGAGACCUGUAGACUAUAUAGUUUAUACCGUGAAACGGCGAAAGAAAGUCUGCUCUUUUAGACUGCCAAAUCUUUGCAACAAUUUCAGACGAGAUCGAUUGGCUAAGAUGCUAUUGAUUUGUCGAAACAGGGCUCCUGGUAGAAAAAAAUGAUUCAGGAUAAAAAAGCUUGGUUAAAUUUCGCAGAAAAGUGUGAGACUGUGUAGGAAAGUAGUUCAAUAAUGCUAUUGCAAAAUGUAUAAGUGCGAAUUAAACAACAAUUAAUUCAAGAAAUGAAACAAAUAAAAGUCACUUGUGCUCUUAACUGA